rnacentral:tRNA from 1 species
GCCGGCGUAGCUCAGUGGUAGAGCAGCUGAUUCGUAAUCAGCAGGCCGUGGGUUCGACCCCCUCCGCCGGCUCCA